rnacentral:sRNA from 1 species
CAUCAUCACCAUCACCCUGAUUAGUCUUCGGGCGAUGUGUGCUGGAAGACAAAUAAGCUCUUCCAGCGGCGCUGAACGCACAGUUUAAAAAGCCCCCGGAAGAGCUUCUUCCGGGGGCUUUUU